rnacentral:rRNA from 1 species
GUGGGGUAACGGCCUACCAAGGCGACGACGGGUAGCCGGCCUGAGAGGGCGACCGGCCACACUGGGACUGAGACACGGCCCAGACUCCUACGGGAGGCAGCAGUGGGGAAUAUUGCGCAAUGGGCGAAAGCCUGACGCAGCGACGCCGCGUGGGGGAUGAAGGCCUUCGGGUUGUAAACCCCUUUCAGCAGGGACGAAGCGAAAGUGACGGUACCUGCAGAAGAAGCGCCGGCUAACUACGUGCCAGCAGCCGCGGUAACACGUAGGGCGCAAGCGUUGUCCGGAAUUAUUGGGCGUAAAGAGCUCGUAGGCGGUCUGUUGCGUCCGCUGUGAAAACUCGGGGCUUAACCCCGAGCGCGCAGUGGAUACGGGCAGACUAGAGGUAGGUAGGGGAGAAUGGAAUUCCCGGUGUAGCGGUGAAAUGCGCAGAUAUCGGGAGGAACACCGGUGGCGAAGGCGGUUCUCUGGGCCUUACCUGACGCUGAGGAGCGAAAGCGUGGGGAGCAAACAGGAUUAAAUACCCUGGUAGUCCACGCCGUAAACGUUGGGCGCUAGGUGUGGGAUCCUUCCAC